AUUGAACGCUGGCGGCAGGCCUAACACAUGCAAGUCGAGCGGGGUUUUCGGACCUAGCGGCGGACGGGCGAGUAAUGCGUAGGAAGCUACCCGACAGAGGGGGAUACCAGUUGGAAACGACUGUUAAUACCGCAUAAUGUCUACGGACCAAAGUGUGGGACCUUCGGGCCACAUGCUGUCGGAUGCGCCUACGUGGGAUUAGCUAGUUGGUGAGGUAAUGGCUCACCAAGGCGACGAUCCCUAGCUGGUUUGAGAGGAUGAUCAGCCACACUGGAACUGAGACACGGUCCAGACUCCUACGGGAGGCAGCAGUGGGGAAUAUUGGACAAUGGGCGCAAGCCUGAUCCAGCCAUGCCGCGUGUGUGAAGAAGGCCUUCGGGUUGUAAAGCACUUUCAGUAGGGAGGAAGGGGUUGUAGUUAAUAGCUGCAACUUUUGACGUUACCUACAGAAGAAGCACCGGCUAACUCUAUGCCAGCCGCCGCAGUAAGAC
rnacentral:rRNA from 1 species